rnacentral:misc_RNA from 1 species
AAGUCGUAACAAGGUUUCCGUAGGUGAACCUGCGGAAGGAUCAUUAUCACGUAUCCACGUAUCAACCAUUGUGAACUGUUUACCUUUUGUCGAGAGUGAGGUUGUGGGAAUUAUAACAUAUUGGUUCCGUUUUUGAUUUUAAGGAGCUAGUUAUAAUUCUCCAUGGAACCACUUCGGUGGAACAUACUCGUUCACUUCAAAUUGUAUUUUAAAAUCAAUUUAUUAACCAUUGUAACUAACUUUGAACAUUGACUUAUCUAUUUCAUACUCUUAACGGAGAUGGAAUUUCAUUACGAAACU